GUUUCACACAGCUGAGAAAGAGCAGUUAACAGUUUUACUACAGCUCUGGGGCACAGAAUUGAAAAAAAAUUGGAAAAUAUCCAAAGGACUUUCUUUACAAAGAAACUAAUAAAAAAGCUGGAACACACCUGAACUACACGGCCCGCUGCACUAUUUAACUUCGAAUAAUAAUCAACGGUUUGAGACAUAAUUACAAAAUUGUCAAUGGAAGUACUAACAUGAUUCGAAGGUCAUUCCACGCCAAUACAUCCAGAAAUCGAAGCGACCAUUUCACGGAUGAUGAUCAUUUUUGUUGCUUGGGUGUCCAAAAUUGAGACUUUUUCAAAAAGCUGAAAAAAGGCAUUAAUUUUUAAAACCAACAUGAUCUUAUGAAUGAAGAAUUUUAAUUACAUGAAUGUUGAAAGGUAUAAAAAUCUUGAUUUAAGAACAAAGGUACCUUAAUCGGAAGUACCGUCCCCCCAGAGCAUCGUUUUAUUUUUAUGAAAUAUUUUUGAAAUUCAUUAUUAUUUCCGCAGUUUUUGUAAUGCACCUGGAUUAACGAUUUUUCUAGAGGCAAUAGCAUAAUAUAUGAGCUAUUUAUUGUAAAAAUUGUAAUAACGUCAACGGCAUAGAUAAAAGUUAUUGAUCGCUAAUGUUAGAAAAAACACUGAUUUUGACGAAAAUUGGGGCUUUUCAAAAAAUCAUAACUCAAAACUAUAUUUUUGAUUACAAUGAAAAUUGUUUACUAUGUCUUCUAAAACAUAUUUUAAAAAUAGAAAAAGUAUAAUUUUUUGUUCGAGAGAUAAAUUUUACUGGAAGAUAUUAAAAAACCAAAAUAACUACAGAAAGGUAGGGAAUUGCGGGGUUGGGUAAAUAAAGCUUAGAUUUUAUGUAGAAAAGUAGUUUGCGAUUCAGGGAUAUACCAAUUAAGACUUUAUUCAAUAAAUUCACUAGUA